rnacentral:rRNA from 1 species
UACAGAGGGUGCAAGCGUUGUUCGGAAUUAUUGGGCGUAAAGGGCGCGUAGGCGGUGCUGUAAGUCUGUGGUGAAAUCUCUGGCUCAACUCAGAGUCUGCCAUAGAAACUGCAGUGCUGGAGUGUGGAGAGUGAGUGAAUUCCGGUGUAGCGGUGAAAUGCGUAGAUAUCGGAGGAACACCUGUGGCGAAGCGGCUCACUGACCACAACUGACGCUGAGGCGCGAAGCGUGGAGCAACAG